rnacentral:rRNA from 1 species
UCCGUAGGGGGCAAGCGUUGUCCGGAAUCAUUGGGCGUAAAGAGCGUGUAGGCGGCUUGGUAAGUCCGCUGUGAAAGUCCAGGGCUCAACCCUGGAAUGCCGGUGGAAACUGUCAAGCUCGAGUCCGGAAGAGGCGAGUGGAAUUCCUGGUGUAGCGGUGAAAUGCGCAGAUAUCAGGAGGAACGCCAAUUGCGAAGGCAGCUCGCUGGGACGUUACUGACGCUGAGACGCGAAAGCGUGGGGAGCAAACAGG